GUACUUGCUUCGACAGUAGAUAUAUUAAAAUUGGAACUAUACAAAGAAGAUUAGCAUAGCUUAUGUGCAAAGAUAACACGUAAAAUUAUGAACUGUAUGUUUACAACUUUU